rnacentral:rRNA from 1 species
ACGAACCGUCCAAACGUUAUUCGGAAUCACUGGGCUUAAAGGGUGCGUAGGCGGCUCGGUAAGUUGGGUGUGAAAUCCCACGGCUCAACCGUGGAAUUGCGCUCAAAACUGUCGAGCUUGAGGGAGAUAGAGGUAAGCGGAACUUCGGGUGGAGCGGUGAAAUGCGUUGAUAUCCGAAGGAACACCGGUGGCGAAAGCGGCUUACUGGGUCUCUUCUGACGCUGAGGCACGAAAGCUAGGGGAGCGAACGG